rnacentral:tRNA from 1 species
GGCAAGUUGGCAGAGCGGUUUAAUGCAUUGGUUUUGAAAACCAACGUACUGAAAGGUACCGGGAGUUCGAAUCUCUCACUUGCCG